ensembl:lncRNA
CUGAUAGAUAAGACUGCUGAUGUGCUCUCAUCCAUUGAAGAGCUGACCAGAAACGUGAACAGAAAGACUGCACCUGAUGGGAUCCCUGCCAUAACAGAUGUGUUCUGUCCAGUGAAGGCAGUGGAGAAGCCCUACACUGAUCUUGAAACUGUGCCACGCUAGUAGAGACCGGCUACAAGGAUGGGCAGCUGUUUUCGCAAAGUCAGCCAACCACUUGCUUCCAAAUGACCCUUAUCCAGAAGUAUCCGUGAGUGCCUCAUCAACAGAAACUAAAGUGGAGACCUACCUCUCAGAGAAAACGCACAUAAGAAAAGCCGACCCACUUCAGUACUGGGAAGAACAUCCUAAUCGGUUUCCCUCUAUGGCUGCUGUUGCGAUCCCAGUGUGCCCCCUGUAGCUCUGUGGACAGUUUUGGAUUUGUUUACAUCUCACCCCAACCGGUCGCGGCAGAUGGCCGCCCCUCCCUGAGCCUGGUUCUGCCGGAGGUUUCUUCCUGUCAAAAGGGAGUUUUUCCUUCCCACUGUCGCCAAAGUGCUUGCUCAUAGGGGGUCAUAUGAUUGUUGGGUUUAUCUAUAUACAUUAAUGCUUGUAUGCUUUUCAUUUAUACUUUUGCCUUACUCUUCAGUUCAUAAUAUAAAGUUACUUGAAUGGUUUCCUUUUCCUUUUUUAUUUUAUAUUGCUUUGCUAUUUACCACAAUCUAAAUAUCAUGUUUAAAUGUCAUACAUUAUUGUAAAUGGUAUCUGUACAAAAUAUUGUUUGAAUAACAUGAUACAUUUAUUAGUCCCACAACGAGAAAUUUC